UGCUAAGACUGGAUAGGAAAUAAAAAGGCAUCUUUUUAUUUUUAAAAGACCUUUUUCGGAAGGUAUGCUUAAAGAUGAGCUUGCGCCACAUUAGUUUGUUGGUGGGGUAAUGGCCUACCAAGACGAUGAUGUGUAGCCGGACUGAGAGGUCGAACAGCCACAUUGGGACUGAGACACGGCCCAAACUCCUACGGGAGGCAGCAGUAGGGAAUUUUCGGCAAUGGAGGAAACUCUGACCGAGCAACGCCGCGUGAACGAUGAAGUAUUUCGGUAUGUAAAGUUCUUUUAUUAAAGAAGAAAAAAUAGUGGAAAAACUAUCUUGACGUUAUUCAAUGAAUAAGCCCCGGCUAACUAUGUGCCAGCAGCCGCGGUAAGACAUAGGGGGCGAGCGUUAUCCGGAAUUAUUGGGCGUAAAGGGUGCGUAGGCGGUUAGGAAAAUCUAUAAUUUAAUUUCAGUGCUUAACGCUGUCUUGUUAUGGAAACUACCUUGACUAUAGUUAGAUAGAGGCAAGCGGAAUUCCAUGUGUAGCGGUAAAAUGUGUAAAUAUAUGGAGGAACACCAGAAGCGUAGGCGGCUUGCAGGGUCUUGACUGACGCUGAGGCACGAAAGCGCGGGUAGCAAACAGGAUUAGAUACCCUGGUAGUCCACGAAGUAAACGAUGAGUACUAAGUGUCGGGAUAAAACUCGGUACUGAAGUUAACACAUUAAGUACUCCGCCUGAGUAGUACGUACGCAAGUAUGAAACUUAAAGGAAUUGACGGGACUCCGCACAAGCGGUGGAUCAUGUUGUUUAAUUCGAAGAUACCCGAAAAAUCUUACCAGGUCUUGACAUGCUCUGCAAAGCUAUAGAAAUAUAGUGGAGGUUAUCAGGGACACAGGUGGUGCAUGGUUGUCGUCAGUUCGUGUCGUGAGAUGUUAGGUUAAGUCCUAAAACGAGCGCAACCCUUGUCGUUAGUUACCAGCACGUAAUGGUGGGCACUUUAACGAGACCGCCAAUUAAACAUUGGAGGAAGGUGAGGAUUACGUCAAAUCAUCAUGCCCCUUAUGAUCUGGGCUACAAACGUGAUACAAUGGCUGUUACAAAGAGUAGCUGAAGCGCGAGUUUUUAGCCAAUCUCAAAAAAGCAGUCUCAGUUCGGAUUGAAGUCUGUAACUCGACUUCAUGAAGUUGGAAUCGCUAGUAAUCGCGAAUCAGCAUGUCGCGGUGAAUACGUUCACGGGGUUUGUACACACCGCCC
rnacentral:rRNA from 1 species